GCGGCUCACAGGGGCAUCCGGGAGCGCGACAACGCCGGGGCGGACGCGUGCGUCGAGGAGCAGAAGGGAAAGGGGAUGGACGGGGUCAGGCCCGUCGACGAGGGCGGCCAAAGUGGCCGACCGCACAGGGCCCCCAAAUCCUUGGGGCCCCCGAUCUGAGAGAUAGCCUGCCUUCGUUCUUUCCCCACACAUCCCGAGCCGCCCCGAAUCGACGAUGUCUCCUCAAAUCUCUGUGCAGAUCUUCUAUAGAUGUGAGCCCUAGGGCCCUGGCCUUCCCUAGUCCCCCGCCUCCGCCGCCAGUCCGUCGCUGCGCUCAUGCCGCCUCCCACAUCCUCCCAUGCGCCGAGCUGACAAACUGACGCCUGAUGGCAUGUCUCUGCUGCAAUUCGCUGUAGCCGUCGCUUUUCCCUAGUCCAAUCCCGCCUGCUACCUGAUCCGUGCGAGUACCACCGCACCUUUCUUAGUAGUGCUCCCCUGCCGGUGCCCAAUCGCCCCAGACACCAUCCUGGUCCUGGUGCUUCCGCUACUCACAGGAACUGUCCGUCCCUUCAAAGUUUGCCCCGGGCCCCCAAAUUCCUGGAGACGGCCCUGGACGGGGUGCUCGCCUAGGAGCACAUGGAGGCUCGGCGGGAGGUUUAGGAGCUGCAGAGCUCGUCGCAGACGGAGAAGACGCCGGGAUCGGAGGAGAUCGGCGGUGGUCGAAGGAGGAAGAUGGAGUCGUAGUGGUCGCAGAUGUGCUCCCCGGCUCGUGUUUGUUGGCGUAGAGGAUGUAGUGGACGGCGGCGGUCUUCGCGGACGCAACAGCGGGGCGAGAGGUGGCCGGUGGUUGUGGCAGAGCAAGGUCGACGGCGAUUGCCGGUGAUGCAGAAGACAAGACCGGCUCGAUCUGCGCACAGUGGCAUCGCCCGGCUCAAAUGGACGGCUCCAGUCGACGGAGACGAACGAGGCUGUGCUCGUGGACACGAGCUGCGGGCGCGGAAACGCCGGUGGCCGCGACGAAGCGUGGUGGUCGGUGACGGCCGCGCUCGGGAGAUGGGGAAUCAGUGAGGAGGGAGAGAGCGAGGUGAGUGGAGAGCGCUGGGGCAUGUGGAAGUGGGCGGAGGCAGGGGAA